rnacentral:misc_RNA from 1 species
UUCGAGCGUCAUUUCAACCCAUCAAGCUUCGGCUUGGUCUUGGGGCCUGCGGUUUCGCAGCCUCUAAACGCAGUGGCGGUGCUAUUGAGCUCUGAGCGUAGUAAUUUCUCUCGCUAUAGAGUCUCGGUGGUGACUUGCCAACAACCCCCAAUUUUUAUCAGGUUGACCUCGGAUCAGGUAGGGAUACCCGCUGAACUUAA